rnacentral:rRNA from 1 species
GAUGAACGCUGGCGGCGUGCCUAAUACAUGCAAGUCGAGCGAACAGACGAGGAGCUCGCUCCUCUGACGUUAGCGGCGGACGGGUGAGUAACACGUGGAUAACCUACCUAUAAGACUGGGAUAACUUCGGGAAACUGGAGCUAAUACCGGAUAAUAUAUUGAACCGCAUGGUUCAAUAGUGAAAGACGGUUUUGCUGUCACUUAUAGAUGGAUCCGCGCCGCAUUAGCUAGUUGGUAAGGUAACGGCUUACCAAGGCAACGAUGCGUAGCCGACCUGAGAGGGUGAUCGGCCACACUGGAACUGAGACACGGUCCAGACUCCUACGGGAGGCAGCAGUAGGGAAUCUUCCGCAAUGGGCGAAAGCCUGACGGAGCAACGCCGCGUGAGUGAUGAAGGUCUUCGGAUCGUAAAACUCUGUUAUUAGGGAAGAACAAAUGUGUAAGUAACUAUGCACGUCUUGACGGUACCUAAUCAGAAAGCCACGGCUAACUACGUG